rnacentral:rRNA from 1 species
GUAAGCGCAAGUCAUCAGCUUGCGUUGAUUACGUCCCUGCCCUUUGUACACACCGCCCGUCGCUACUACCGAUCGAAUGGCUCAGUGAGGCGUCCGGACUGGCCCAGGGAGGUGGGCAACUACCCCCCCGGGCCGGGAAGCUCUCCAAACUCGGUCAUUUAGAGGAAGUAAAAGUCGUAACAAGGUCUCCGUUGGUGAACCAGCGGAGGGAUUAUUA